rnacentral:rRNA from 1 species
UGGUUUAGUGGCGGACGGGUGAGUAACACGUGAGCAACCUACCUUUCAGGAGGGGAUAACAGUUGGAAACGACUGCUAAUACCGCAUAACGUUAGUAAAAGGGCAUCCAUUUACAACCAAAAGAGAAAUCUGCUGAAAGAUGGGCUCGCGGCCGAUUAGAUAGUAGGCGGGGUAACGGCCCACCUAGUCAACGAUCGGUAGCCGGACUGAGAGGUUGAACGGCCACAUUGGGACUGAGACACGGCCCAGACUCCUACGGAAGGCAGCAG